rnacentral:rRNA from 1 species
UCGGGAAUUUUGGGCAAUGGGCGAAAGCCUGACCCAGCAACGCCGCGUGAAGGAUGAAGUCUCUCGGGAUGUAAACUUCGUAAGAAUAGGAAGAAUAAAUGACGGUACUAUUUGUAAGGUCCGGCUAACUACGUGCCAGCAGCCGCGGUAAUACGUAGGGACCAAGCGUUGUUCGGAUUUACUGGGCGUAAAGGGCGCGUAGGCGGCGUGGUAAGUCACUUGUGAAAUCUCCGAGCUUAACUCGGAACGGUCAAGUGAUACUGCUGUGCUAGAGUACAGAAGGGGCAAUCGGAAUUCUUGGUGUAGCGGUGAAAUGCGUAGAUAUCAAGAGGAACACCUGAAGGUGAAGACGGGUUGCUGGGCUGAUACUGACGCUGAGGCGCGAAAGCUAGGGUAGCAAACGGGAUUAGAUACCCUCG